rnacentral:misc_RNA from 1 species
UUUUUUUUUUUUUUUUCAUUUUCAUCAGCAAUUUAAUGGCCCUGUCACUAGGAGGAAAAAAAAGACAAGCAAUUGAAAACAGAAGAGAGUAUUUGGACGGACAAUAGAGAAGGGCGCACUGGUACACACACAUGCACAGAAAACCGACCCAAGAAAAAGACAGGGAAAUGCCAGCGAUAUCUCAAGAGUUUAUUUCUAUACUGGAGCCAAAAGAAUGAUGACAAGACACUUAUUUUUCAAGCAUUCUAGCAACAACACAUAUUAAUGGCGUUCUCAGCAAUAGUCCUAGACAAUUCCAAAUUAACAGUAUGCCUUUUUCACUACCACUGCCCCCCAUGUCAAUAGCAUAAUUUAUUGUUCUUCUCAUCCCAUACCAAAUGCAGACCAAAAGUUCAUCAGAGUACAAGACCAUCAAGAUCCAUACAUGCAAGGCAGGAUAUAAAUGGAUUCCAUCUCUUUUUUAUUCACAAAAUUCAAUUGAAUUCUUCUGGUCAAAUGAGAAUUUGAUAGUCCUAAAAAAUUUAAUUAGUUAACAAAAUGAUGCCAAAGAUGAUUGAAGGAGAGUGAGAAAUAAUAUAGCAUAAGAGACGCUAUCCUACAAACGCAAUACCAUUCUCAAUUAAUCCAAAUUAUUUGGAAUGCUAAAAUUGAUUUUGAAGUUACAAUAUAUGCAUUCAAGUAGUUAAAAACUUCUUCUAAAAGAGCAAUCUAUAGUCUACUUAUAACAUCUAUGUGAUGUACACACAAUUGAUCAAUCGACUAUGCCAGCAAAAUAAUUACAAGGAAACAUGUGUACUUAUGUGCAAUGCAUCAAUCUGCCAUCAUCAACUAUAUAUAACAUAUCCUCUUGUUAUGGUGGAAAAUGUAUCCUCAUAGCCUUCCUCAUGUCAUCUAAACAUAAAGUCUUUCUCGAGCGAACUCAUAAAAUUGCCAAAACAAAG